AAGUCGAACGAAGUAGCAAUACUUAGUGGCAGACGGGUGAGUAACAUGUAGGUAUCUGCCCUUUGGCCUGGAAUAACACGAGGAAACUUGUGCUAAUACCGGAUAAGUCUUUACGGAGAAAGCUUUAUGCACCAUUGGAUGAGCCUGCACUUGAUUAGUUUGUUGGUGGGGUAAUGGCCUACCAAGACUUUGAUCAAUAGCUGAUUUGAGAGGAUGAUCAGCCACAUUGGGACUGAGACACGGCCCAAACUCCUACGGGAGGCAGCAGUGGGGAAUCUUGCACAAUGGAGGAAACUCUGAUGCAGCGAUGCCGCGUGAGUGAAGAAGGCCCUUGGGUUGUAAAGCUCUUUCGUCGGGGAAGAAAAUGACUGUACCCGAAUAAGGAGGUCCGGCUAACUUCGUGCCAGCAGCCGCGGUAAUACGAAGGGACCUAGCGUAGUUCGGAAUAACUGGGCUUAAAGAGUUCGUAGGUGGUUGAAAAAGUUGGUGGUGAAAUCCCAGAGCUUAACUCUGGAACUGCCAUCAAAACUUUUCAGCUAGAGUAUGAUAGAGGAAAGCAGAAUUUCUAGUGUAGAGGUGAAAUUCGAAGAUAUUAGAAAGAAUACCAAUUGCGAAGGCAGCUUUCUGGAUCAUUACUGACACUGAGGAACGAAAGCAUGGGUAGCGAAUAGGAUUACAUACCCUCGUAGUCCAUGCCGUAAACGAUGUG
rnacentral:rRNA from 1 species